UUGUAGGAGGAUUUUUAAUCCAUAUAUUUGUCUUAUGGCUAGAUAAAGAUUUCUCUGAAAAAAAGAAGCAUGUCAGGAAUCUCUGGGUGCCCCUUUUUCCUCUGGGGACUUCUAGCAUUGUUGGGCUUGGCUUUGGUUAUAUCACUGAUCUUCAAUAUUUCCCACUAUGUGGAAAAGCAACGACAAGAUAAAAUGUACAGCUACUCCAGUGACCACACCAGGUAUGUUGUGAUUCAGUCAUGGAUCAUGAUUCCCAACUAAUAAGCAAAAGUAACAAUGCUAUAUUGUUUAAAGAUUUGGCUCAUGGAUAUUGUACUUAGGUUAAAAUGAAAUGAAAAGUGAGUUUUAAUUACUUUUACUCUCAUCUAAAGAUCAGAAGCUAUAACAUUAUUAUCUGUCCUAGUUAUUUGCACACUGUGAGUCAACAAGAAAGCUGGUUGAAGGAUAAAAUGAGAUUCUAACCUGAUAACUAUAGAAUUAUCAUUAAUUUCAGAGGUAGAUAGCCUAGAUUAUGAUCCAGCUUAGAUACAGAAUUGUGCUACACUUCAAAAUCCAUAGUAGAAAACAAUCUGGCAACCU
rnacentral:lncRNA from 1 species